GGGGCUGUAGUUCAGUGAUUGAAUUCUUGCCUAGAAUACGAGAAGCCCUGGGUUCCAUCCCCAGUAUCACUA
rnacentral:tRNA from 1 species